ACCCUGUGAUGGGGGUCACAAGAGCCAGAGGGGGAAGAGGGGCUGGCUCUCAACCACCACGAAAUGGGAGGCCUUUAUGUUCAGGUUUUGCCCAAGAGUCAGCUUUUUUGCUUCUUGUACUAGCUGGGCAGUUGCUGCCAAGGCCCUCAAACAGGGUGGCCAUCCUUUAGAAACAGUAAUAUUAUUAGUAACAGCAGCAGCAUGUAUUCACUGGGCACUUCUCAGUACCUGGCCUCAUGGCUCCCACUUUGUAGGGGCCACUGGGAUCAAGAGAGGGCAACAUUGCAACUCUCCAUGCUCCUGCAAUAUCCAUAGCUAUUCUGUAGACAGAAGGACAACAGGUACAAAGUCCUAAGGAUUAUAAAGGUAUGCUGCUUGCCAUCAUCUUAGUGACCAAGGCAGCGAAGCUGUUUCUGUACCUUGGAACAGUCUUCCCUGACAAGCCAGAGAACAGCGAUAAAGCCACCAGCCUUGGGAUCAGGACUGAAAAGGCAAGAGUGAUGGAGAUUUCUCCUGCGCUAAGCCAAGAGAAGGUUUCAGCACCUCAGACAGCUCCCACCGAAGUAGCGGCGCUCCCAGCUGCUUGCAGAUGUGGAAAAGGAAAGCCUCGGUUUGUCUUGAGGUUGUCAGCAGUUGCAAGACACGUAAUAAAAUGCAAUGUGUUCCUAA
ensembl:lncRNA novel transcript